UACGUAGGGGGCAAGCGUUGUCCGGAAUCAUUGGGCGUAAAGAGCGUGUAGGCGGUCCAGUAAGUCGGCUGUGAAAGUCCAGGGCUCAACCCUGGGAUGCCGGUCGAUACUGCCGGACUAGAGUUCGGAAGAGGCGAGUGGAAUUCCCGGUGUAGCGGUGAAAUGCGCAGAUAUCGGGAGGAACACCUAUGGCGAAGGCAGCUCGCUGGGACGUUACUGACGCUGAGACGCGAAAGCGUGGGGAGCGAACAGG
rnacentral:rRNA from 1 species